UACCUGGUUGAUCCUGCCAGUAGUCAUAUGCUUGUCUCAAAGAUUAAGCCAUGCAUGGGUAAAUAUGAACUAAUUCAGACUGGGAAA
rnacentral:rRNA from 1 species